CGACGUGCGUUGCGUUUUAAGAAUAUACCGCCUCGUGUGAUUGUUCACUCUUGAGGUUCGAAUGAUGAUCUGAACUGGCGCACCUCAGGUUCGAGCACUUAUGGUGAGGGGGUCUGCAAGACGAGGAUAAACGUGGCCUAUGUCUUGUGUAAGAAGCAGAUUUGCAGGGUUUUUUUUAAUGUAGACACUACGACAGUGAAUGUUGCUGUUCACAGACGAAGCUAUUUGUGGAGAAGUACUUCCUCUUUCAUUGGCGGAGAUUAUGGAAUUGGAGCCCCACAUCGGACCUUGAAGGGUUCUCAAAAAAAAAAAGACCCGAGCUCUUCGGAAAACUUGCUAAAGAUGUAGAGUGCAUGCUUUUUUACACGGAGUCUCGGAGAUGCCACAUCAGUGCUUACUGUGUCCAUUCAGAACCAAACUACAGACGGACUUUAACCAUGCAGCUACAGGUUUGGCUGGAGACAGAAAGCAGGCUAAACAAAAGGGUGAAACAUCUCAAGCUAGUCAAGGCCAUUGAGGUGCAUGUACUAACAGGCAAAUAACUGUGGUGUGGUCAUAUUUAAAUGGUCUGGUUAAAAACUGGGUAGAUGUACAGUUACCUGAUGAUGGAGUUGAGGGCAGUCAUUGUCACCUACCUUCGUCCGACUCAGAGGCUGUAUACCGCUCCACAUACUGCGGCAUCAUUUCCAUUCAUGUAUAGCUGUUUAUAAAUCCUGAUUCCUCAGGAAGCUAGUAGUAGUAGAACAUGUCUGUUAAUCUAAGGCCCCUUAGUCCACUCAUCAGUUACACUGUUUGAUUGGUUAAAGCAUGCAGAGAAUGAGAUCUCUUUCUUUCAAGAGCCCAACUUUCAAAUAUAACAGCAGCUUAGAAGAGAGAACUAGAAAUGGAGUGGAACUGAGCUUUAAUCUGUUCCUACACUUUCCUAAACUAUCCAACUAUCUAGUAAUAGGUUUGCAGUUCCCCAAUCGGUGCACAUUAUAUGACCAACUGUGGUACCACCAACAUUGACCUGUAUAGCUUAGUUGGCUGGAGCACUGGUACAGUACAAUUUGUGAGAUUCAGAUUCAAACCUCCCUCAUUCACUGUUUUUAUUUGACUUUAAAAGGCGCCAUAUAUCACAGCAUGCAAAAUGUAAUAUGCUUUAUUGGUAAAUAGUCAAUACAUUUUUCCCAUGUACUGUUAUCCUACUUAUAACAAGAACAGGUUUGGGUUCUAAGUAUUUUUCAUUCAUGCCACUACAAGGUUCCUCUGAUAACAAGAUACUCUGAUAACAAGAUACCAAUGAAAUGCACCAUCCUCUUCCUUUAACAUUUAAAACAUGCCAGUGAACCAAGACUUGAAGUGUUGGUCGACAAAAUCAAAAUGCAGUGGAAUACACAACUCCUUAUUUUGGCUAUCCUAGUUGAAGUUUCUUAUAUUAAAGAAAUCAUGUGAUUGUAUUUCAUUGUAUACAAGAAAUAAA